AUGAAACGUCUCUGGGUUAGAACAGUUCCUGCAGGGGCAGGAAGAACUAAAGGCUCCUCUACUGCUGUAGGCAGCCAGGGACCUCUGGGAGUAGAGAACAAGAAGAUGACUACAAUGGCACCAAGAAAGAGAGUCCCAGCUAUGAUGGCAAUGAUGCUGCCGCCAUCAGAGCAGCUUCAUGGGGCUUGGAAAUCCUUCUGAGAGAGGAAGUGUUCUAUGAAAUGAGAACAAGGAUUAAGAGUUUGAAUACAAUCCCUAAUGAAAAAACAGUGAUUCCACACUUGGCUGGACUCAGUGCAGCACAGUUUACCAAGCAACACCAAGUGCUAAGGGUAAAAUAAUGCAGAAGUCAGAUGACACCAUGCAAUGUGACUUCAUAAGAGGAAAAAGGAGUUAAGAUGAUAUAAGGAAACACAAUCAUAGAGAAAGAAGAAAAAAAGUUCUUGUCAACUAUAACAAAAGGAAAACUGCAAGUCUGAACACCCACCAUAAAUGGCCUUUCUCUUAGGAAGUCUCAUGUCCAUGAGAGAAAGCUCCCCAGGGCACACACCUUCGGGCUGUCAGCCAUGGUGGCCUCAACCUGCCAACCCCAGGAACAGGGCCUGUGUGAAGGAUAUGUGUUAAUAGUACCUAGUAAAAAUGCUUUCUUUUCUUUUGCCAACUUCUGGCAAAAUGAGAAAGAUGAAGAUGGCCUGCUCUCUGGAAAACUAAUUUCACAAAAAGACAAAAUGUAGGUGUGAAAUUUUAAUGAGUAAUUAUUUAUAUGAGUAUUUAUUUUUAUGAGUAAUUAAACUUUUGCUCACUCAUACAGAACA
rnacentral:lncRNA from 1 species